CAUCUAUUUUUCCUGGGAUUCUGGGUGUUCUGUUCGUGAAACAGAAGUAUGGUUUCAACAGUGCUUAUUAGCGCUUAAUCAGCGGUUUAGUCUAACCUUCUUUGUACCUGGGAGUGAGAGAAGGGUUGUGUCGCUACAGGUCUGUGAAGAAAGGCGGGUAUCCUCGGAGCCUGUUCAGGAGAACRGUGGUUUCAGACCCGGUGGGGGAAGCUUCCAGUGAUAUGGAGGCCGUGGCUGAACAGCGCGGGCUGCACGUGUGCCCAGAAACCACCACUGCUGAUGCACAAAACAGUGAAAUUGUUCUGCAAUCCCAUGAUGCCAAGAGCUGGUGCUUUCAGAAAAAAAAUUGCCAGACAUUAAAAAUCAC
rnacentral:lncRNA from 1 species